AUUUGAUAAUACUAGAAGUUACUAACGCAAGGAAGUCUAGAAGUUACUAACGCAAGGAAGUGCUGCCUCGCGGCCAAAACGUUAGGUUAGGUUGUUCAAAAUCUGUUUAUAAAUCCGUGGAUAAUUCAAAACUAAAUAACACUAUAAUGGAAACAUAACACUAUUAUAAUUUUUACGCAUUUUAAAACGUUUUCGCUUUGUCCAAAUAUGUUAACGCCCGAGUCAAGCAAAACGAUUACACUAAUAAACGGUUCGCUUUUUUAUUUUAAAUUCCAGAAGCAGAAGUUUAUGCACCUGUGGGAUCAACUUAGUGCUAGGGCAUUCAAAUUAUAACAAUAGGAUAAUUUCUAUAGUGUCACUUUUUUUUUGGACACCCUGUAUGUUACAACAAUAUUCUAAUUAUCUAAAAUUAAGAAAACAGUUCUCUGUAAUGAAACAGGUCCAUUUUCUGAGCACUCCAAACAAUAGUAGCUAAUAGAAAUUAAGUAAUUAUGGGUCAUUUCACGGCUUAUUUCUCCGACAAUAUAUGUAUAAUGUGGCCUGCAGGGCUACCUCCACGCAUUUAGCUAUUAUGCGAUUGUCACUAAGGUUAAUUUGCGGAUUUUGCAAUAUUCUUAGACACAAAGUCAAGUUUAUCUAUAGUUUAAGUUGUUUCCACUUUAAGGAUCAGAUAUUUUGCAGUUCGCUUACAGUAUUCUUAGUCCUUACAGCCUGCCUCAGUGAAGAUGUGGUACCGGUAACUGACGCAACACACCAACAUUUGUUUAUGUUAUACCGUGGGCGACGCUGAAGCACCAAAUGUUAAAAAUUUUACUAAACUACGAUUUGUUUCGCAUGUUCGUCAGGAGUUAGAGGGGGCGAUCAAAGAACAGAGAAAGGAAAGCCAGUCACCUCUACUUCAGACGUUUAUGACCAGCGUCAAGGCCGUCCCGGACCUCCAGAUGGCUCUACUGCGGAGUGCGUAGUAUGUCUGGAGAGACCCAAGGAUGCAAUGAUUGUUCACGGUGAUACGGGUCAUGUGUGUUGCUGUACAACAUGUGCUGAAGACCUCCAGCGAAAUGGAUUUAGUUGCCCCAUUUGUAGAGCGGAAAUUGAACGUGUUAUUAAGCAGUACACUGUUUAGAAAUAAAAAGUGAAAGACUGAAAGACACUGGUACUUCUUUUGUCUUUCGUUAGAGCUGAAAUUAUUGAGUUGAACGACAAUAAUUAUAAGGUGGCUCCAUACAGUUUCCUGAAAAGUGGAAGACACAUUUCAGACCAAAAAAUGUUGUACAUUCUACAUGUACCGUUACAGUUUCUGAUUCUCAAAAUACUGUUCUAUACAAGAC